UCUCUUCUUCAUGCAGAGAUUAUUUUUCAAAAGGUCACAAUCAACAUUCAUUGCUGUCGGUGGGUUGAGCUGUGUGGACAAGCUCACUGAACAAUGAAUGCAACUGUGGCCCCGCUUUGUGCUGUCACAAUCAACAACAUUCCACCUUUCAAAGAUGUCCUGAAUAUGUUGGUAUCACUCUUCACCGUCACCUUUCGGGUCUGUUUGAGAGUUCAGGUCGAUGUAUUCAAUCUAUAUCGUGUGAUCAGAUUUCAGUGAGAAAGGCACUAGUUCAAAACAGCAUGAUGCUUCUCUGUACUUCCGUAUGUUAUAAAUAGAGCACAUUUUUAUAAAAGGUAAACCAUUUUGUCCACAGGAUCAGUACAUCAUCAUCUGGGUUAACACACCUUCUUCUGUUACAAUGGGGUGAGAGGAAGACACCAAGAAGCACCCCAGGAUCCAUGCCACUGGCACCUCUGUCUUUAUAACAUUUAAAAGCACCCAUUCUCUACAUCUUUUGUUAAAUUUCCUGGUCCGAUUGGGAUAGGAACACCAAGUAAUUGCAUGUUCUGUUUCUCUAGUUGAGGACUCACUCAAAUAAUUCCUCUUGCCCUCGUAUUUGUUAAGGAAGGGAAAAAUGUAUAAAAUAACUUAGUGACUCUCAGAACACAUGAUCAUCAUAGAGUCGCUUCAUUUCCCUAACUAAAUUUCAAAACUCCAACAUAAAAUUUUACCCAUUUCCUUGUGUUUCUUUUUCCAAACACCUAACCUGAAUUGUUAAACCUACAACCAUGGCCAACAGUGAAGUCACACUCAUCUGACUUUUCAUGGGUAAGACUAUUAAUGUCAUUGUUUUGUUUAGUUGUUAUGUUUGAUCCUAGUGGUUUUAAGUUCACCAUUCAUAAUGAUUAUAGUUACAGUACUAAAUGCUUCUAGAGUGUCUGGAGCACCAAGCUGACUUCAAUGUUUAUUUAAAAAAAGAUCUCUCCAAUACAUGAUCCUUCCUGCUCCUUGACCUUUGCAAUCUCACAUCAGUCUCUUCAGCUCCCCUUAUAGAAGCCCAUUCCUGGAACCCUGCUCUAGCUUUCAUAAGAACCCUAAGACAUUUUAGCUCAUCCACUGUCUAAACUGCCACACUCUGCCUAUUGCUUUCUUCUAUUUUCCCAUUCUCUUAACCCCAAAGCAACUAUCCAAAAGCUUCAUUUUUGCUGGGGGAAAAAAAAAUCACACAAUCAUAAGGAAGAAUGUUAGGACAUAUUCAUGGGCCUUCAAAUGGCUUGGUCCCUCAUCUCCACCCUGUUAUUUCUUCCACCCUACCACCUAGUAGGUAGCUCAAGUGUGGACCUCCUUUCUCACAGCUCCCCUCCAACAUUCUGAUUUCAACUGAUGCACCGACCUCUUUUUUUGAUUGAGAAGCCUUUCCAUCUGAUUGCUCCCUCCACUUCUUCAGCGAUAGCCAACCAAUCCAUACACUUCUGUCCCCUGGUUGACUCACUUCUUCCCGUCUUGCUCAUGACACGGCUUACUCUGUGAUAUCCCCCUCUUCUCACCAUAUGGCUCUUUCCAUGUAACAUGUGGCAAGGUUCAGUUUUGUCUCUUCUCAGAAGAAAACUAAAGACAUUUAAGAAAAAACUUCUCUGGACUUGUUUCAGUCUCCCACUACUUAUAUCUUCUCUUUAAAAGGGUUUAAAAAUUGUAUGUGGCAGCCUGUACCCUUUCACCUCAACUAUCUAUAAUUUGGCUGCUUCUACCAUUCCUUUCUACCCCUUGUAUCUACUUUUUUUUUUUAAUGAACUGAAUCACCAGUGGGUUCUGUAUUGCCAAAUAAAUAUCAGACUUUUCUGUGAGUUAUCCUUACUGAACUCUUAUGUGAACUGUCCUAAUAGUCCCCUAAUCAACUUCGUAUCUACUAUAAGCAAUCUGUUCGAUAUUUUCCCCACAUUAUUUUAAGAGGAAUAUUUUUAAAAAUCUAAUCAUGUUGUGAAACUAUAAUGCAACCUGAAUAAAAUAUCUUAGUAUGUUUAAUAGAUGGAUUAUUCUGGUAGAAAAAAUGUUAUGAAUAUUAGCCAAGUUGAGAAAAAAGAAAUUUAUGUAUUGCCAAAUAAAUAUCAGACUUCACAUAAAGAAUAUCACAUAAUCUCUCAAGAUUUAUUUCAGGACAUUAAGCAAUUGCAAGCAAUUUUUAAAAAAUAUUUAAAAUAGGUGUAAUUGGGACAUUUAUUUACCUUGAAAUGGUAAAGAUUUUUUUUUCAAUAUUAAGACAAUUAAAGCAAAAAGACAAUAGUGGGAGGAUUUGACUACAUUAAACACCAAACUAUAAUUAGAAGGCAAAUAGACAAAUGGAAAGAAUAUGAGCAAUAGAUAAGACCAACAAUUUGUAUACUGAAUAUGUAAAAAACUUUAAUAUAAAAAGCAAUAAGGAAAACAUUAACAACUCAAGAAAUAAGCGAACGAUGAAAGUCAACAGAGUAGUCACAGAAUAAAUGUGAAUGGGUGAUGUGUAUAUGAUAUAAGCUUUUUCUAUUUCACUCAACCAAGAAUCCAGAUUUAAAACAAUAUGAUGUGAGUUUCUUUCGUCAGGCUAAGUGAUGAAGCAAAUGAUAGAGCCUCUAGUGUGGCUGACACGAAUGUUUUCAUACUAAACUAGGUAUGAUUGUUUUCUACUUACACUCACUUCUCAGCUUCACUUUUCUUCAAUUUUGAACAUGUGGCUUACCGUCCCUGCUGUGGCAUAUUGCACCAGAAAUACGCACCUGUCCUAAGGGGACCGAUCCAUAGGUGUGGCUGAGACUUUCAUAUUUUCCUUUUUAGGAAUUUGAACUAAAAACUGCUGAAUCCUUCAGGAGAUAGUAGAGGUGUUCCACAAGUAUAAUGCCAUGAGGAUCUUGGGAGGAAGAACAUUUCGCUUUCUUUCCCUGUCAGUAAAUCAGAUCUAGAAGAUCAGGGAGGAGCAGCAAAAAUAGGCAGGUAUUAGGUGUGUUGCAGCU
rnacentral:lncRNA from 1 species